AUGGUCACUUUACAACAUAUAUACUAAAACUAGAACAAUUACCAAGAAUAUUGGCACAGCCCCUACACGAGAAUUACAUGCAAAUUCGUGAAGUGUUCCAUUAAAAA
rnacentral:snRNA from 1 species